UACGAAGGGUGCUAGCGUUGUUCGGAUUUACUGGGCGUAAAGCGCGUGUAGGCGGAUCGUUAAGUCGGGGGUGAAAGCCCAGAGCUCAACUCUGGAAUUGCCUUCGUUACUGGCGGUCUGGAGCAGAGAAGAGGCGAGUGGAAUUCCGAGUGUAGAGCUGAAAUUCGUAGAUAUUCGGAGGAACACCAGUGGCGAAGGCGGCUCGCUGGUCUCUUGCUGACGCUGAGACGCGAAAGCGUUGGGCGCAAACAGC
rnacentral:rRNA from 1 species